rnacentral:rRNA from 1 species
CUUAGAGUUUGAAUCAUGGCUCAGGAUGAACGCUGGCGGCGUGCCUAAUACAUGCAAGUCGAGCGAACAGACAAGGAGCUUGCUCCUUUGACGUUAGCGGCGGACGGGUGAGUAACACGUGGGUAACCUACCUAUAAGACUGGGAUAACUUCGGGAAACCGGAGCUAAUACCGGAUAAUAUUUCGAACCGCAUGGUUCGAUAGUGAAAGAUGGUUUUGCUAUCACUUAUAGAUGGACCCGCGCCGUAUUAGCUAGUUGGUAAGGUAACGGCUUACCAAGGCGACGAUACGUAGCCGACCUGAGAGGGUGAUCGGCCACACUGGAACUGAGACACGGUCCAGACUCCUACGGGAGGCAGCAGUAGGGAAUUUCCGCAAUGGGCGAAAGCCUGACGGAGCAACGCCGCGUGAGUGAUGAAGGUCUUCGGAUCGUAAAACUCUGUUAUUAGGGAAGAACAUACGUGUAAGUAACUAUGCACGUCUUGACGGUACCUAAUCAGAAAGCCACGGCUAACUACGUGCCAGCAGCCGCGGUAAUACGUAGGUGGCAAGCGUUAUCCGGAAUUAUUGGGCGUAAAGCGCGCGUAGGCGGUUUUUUAAGUCUGAUGUGAAAGCCCACGGCUCAACCGUGGAGGGUCAUUGGAAACUGAAAACUUGAGUGCAGAAGAGGAAAGUGGAAUUCCAUGUGUAGCGGUGAAAUGCGCAGAGAUAUGGAGGAACACCAGUGGCGAAGGCGACUUUCUGGUCUGUAACUGACGCUGAUGUGCGAAAGCGUGGGGAUCAAACAGGAUUAGAUACCCUGGUAGUCCACGCCGUAAACGAUGAGUGCUAAGUGUUAGGGGGUUUCCGCCCCUUAGUGCUGCAGCUAACGCAUUAAGCACUCCCCGCCCU